rnacentral:rRNA from 1 species
AUUGAACGCUGGCGGCAGGCCUAACACAUGCAAGUCGAGCGAGCGGCGGACGGGUGAGUAAUGUAUGGGGACUGCCCGAUAGAGGGGGAUAACUACUGGAAACGGUAGCUAAUACCGCAUACUAUCGGAUAACCCAUAUGGGAUUAGCUAGUAGGUGAGGUAAUGGGUCACCUAGGCGACGAUACCUAGCUGGUCUGAGAGGAGGAUCAGCCACUAUGCGACUGAGACACGGCCCAGACUCCUACGGAGGCAGCAGUUGGGCAUAUUGGACAAUGGGGGCAAUCCUGAUGCAGCCAUGCCGCGUGUAUGAAGAAGGCCCUAGGGUUGUAAAUUACUUUCAGUCGGGAGGCGUUACCGACAGAAGAAGCACCGGCUAACUCCGUGCCAGCAGCCGCGGUAGUUC